UCGGAUGUGAAAUCCCCNGGGCUCAAACCUGGGAACUGCAUUCGAAACUGNCAGGNUAGAGUUUUGUAGAGGGGGGUAGAAUUUCCAGGUGUANNCGGUGAAAUGCGUAGAGAUCUGGAGGAAUACCCGGUGGCGAAGGCGGCCCCCUGGACAAAGACUGACGNNUCAGGUGCGAAAGGCGUGGGGAGCAAACAGGAUUAGAUACCCUGNUAGUCCACGCCGUAAACGAUGUCGACUUGGAGGUUGUGCCCNUGAGGCGUGGCUUCCGGAGCUAACGCGUUAAGUCGACCGCCUGGGGAGUACGGCCGCAAGGUUAAAACUCAAAUGAAUUGANCGGGGGCCCGCACAAGCGGUGGAGCAUGUGNUUUAAUUCGAUGCAACGCGAAGAACCUUACCUACUCUUGACAUCCAGAGAACUUNCCAGAGAUGGNUUGGUGCCUUCGGGAACUCUGAGANCAGGUGCUGCAUGGCUGUCGUCAGCUCGUGUUGUGAAAUGUUGGGUUAAGUCCCGCAACGAGCGCAACCCUUAUCCUUUGUUGCCAGCGGUNNGGCCGGGAACUCAAAGGAGACUGCCAGUGAUAAACUGGAGGAAGGUGGGGAUGACGUCAAGUCAUCAUGGCCCUUACGAGUAGGGCUACACACGUGCUACAAUGGCGCAUACAAAGAGAAGCGACCUCGCGAGAGCAAGCGGACCUCAUAAAGUGCGUCGUAGUCCGGAUUUGGAGUCUGCAACUCGACUCCAUGAAGUCGGGAAUUCGCNNNGUAAUUGGUAGAUCAAGAAUGCU
rnacentral:rRNA from 1 species